UACGUAGGGGGCAAGCGUUAUCCGGAUUUACUGGGUGUAAAGGGAGCGUAGACGGAAAGGCAAGUCAGAAGUGAAAGCCCAAGGCUCAACCAUGGGACUGCUUUUGAAACUGUCAAACUAGAGUACGGGAGAGGUAAGAGGAGUUCCUAGUGUAGCGGUGAAAUGCGUAGAUAUUAGGAGGAACACCAGUGGCGAAGGCGUCUUACUGGACCGAAACUGACGUUGAGGCUCGAAAGCGUGGGGAGCAAACAGG
rnacentral:rRNA from 1 species